CAAGGGGGGCGAGCCUGAUCCAGCCAUGCCGCGUGUGUGAAGAAGGUCUUCGGAUUGUAAAGCACUUUAAGUUGGGAGGAAGGGUUGUAGAUUAAUACUCUGCAAUUUUGACGUUACCGACAGAAUAAGCACCGGCUAACUCUGUGCCAGCAGCCGCGGUAAUAA
rnacentral:rRNA from 1 species